AUCUUUCUGGUUCAUUCAAAUGAUGAUCGGUGCGAUCACAGAUCCAUCUGUGACAGGUGCAGCCCUCACCUUGUUACGCUCUGCGCCUCAGCCCGUCUGAUA